rnacentral:rRNA from 1 species
UACGGAAGGCAGCAGUGGGGAAUAUUGCACAAUGGGCGAAAGCCUGAUGCAGCUAUGCCGCGUGUAUGAAGAAGGCCUUAGGGUUGUAAAGUACUUUCAUCGGGGAGGAAAAACAAAACUAAUAAUUUUAUUUCUUGACGUUACCCGAAAAAGAAGCACCGGCUAACUCCGUGCCAGCAGCCGCGGUAAUACGGAGGGUGCUAGCGUUAAUCAGAAUUACUGGGCGUAAAGAGCACGUAGGUGGUUUUUUUAAGUCAGAUGUGAAAUCCCUGGGCUUAACCUAGGAACUGCAUUUUGAAACUGAAAUACUAGAGUAUCGUAGAGGGAGGUAGAAUUCUAGGUGUAGCGGUGAAAUGCGUAGAUAUCUGGAGGAAUACCUGUGGCGAAAGCGGACUCCUAAACGAAUACUGACACUGAGGGUGCGAAAGCGUGGGGAGCAAAACAGGGAUUAGAUACC